GAUGAACGCUGGCGGCGUGCCUAAUACAUGCAAGUCGAGCGAACGGACUAGAAGCUUGCUUCUCUGAUGUUAGCGGCGGACGGGUGAGUAACACGUGGAUACCCUACCUAUAAGACUGGGAUAACUUCGGGAAACCGUAGCUAAUACCGGAUAAUCUUUUGAACCGCAUGGUUCAAAAGUGAAAGACGGUCUUGCUGUCACGUAUAGAUGGAUCCGGGCUGCUUUAGCUAGUUGGUAAGGUAACGGCUUACCAAGGCAACUAUGCAUAGCCGACCUGAGAGAGGGAUCGCCGACACUGGAAGGUAACCACGCACCAUGGUACUGCGGGAGGGAGCAGUAGCGUAUCGUACGCAAUGGGCGAGAGCCUGACGGAGCGGCGCCGCGUGUGUUAUAAAGGUCUUCGGAUCGUGAAACUCUGUUAUUAGUGGAGAACAUAUGUGUAAGGAGCUGUACACAUCGUGACGGUACCUAAUCAGAAAGCCACGGCUAACUACGUG
rnacentral:rRNA from 1 species